UCGUCGCCUUCUUCCACAGCUGGCACCGAUGCCGCUCAUCAUGCCAGCGUACCCAUACUGCCCCUCCUUUGCGAAGGCACUGACGGCACUGACCCACAGCCAGUCAAUGUGGCGUUGGAGUGGAACUACAUGACCAAGAAAGUGGCGCGUGCCAGUGACGUUCAGAAUAAUCUGGUUGCAUGUGCCCAAAUCUGCUUUCGAGCUUGGGGAGAACAAUAAAUGCCGUUGGCAGUCCUCGAAACAUACGAAGCUGGACGUGACUGUGGAGGCGACAGAACAUCAAAACUCUUUAAUUGCUUCAAGAAUUGGUCACGAAAAAGUGAACACUUAUUCUCUCAACAACAAGCCAUUCUGUAAAACCUCAAUUCAAUGCACGCGGGUCCUUAGUAUAGGAACCAACUUGAGAAGCGAUGACGUCUCGACGUGCCUCGAUGUCUCAGGAGUUACAGUCCUAAGCCCUGUCCUGUGCUGCACGGAAAUUGUAUCGUGGCCCAUACUGUUAGAGUAGUGCAUCUCGGUUGGUACCAAGGGCCCAAAAUAAAGUCCUCCGAAAAUCGUCUGACGUUGAUGGUUGCCAGAUUGGUUGCCAGAUUUUUUGAUAUGGUGUUUGCAUUUCGGCACAGCCGAGGUAAGCGGUGCGGUGAAUAAACAUACACAAUGCGUGAGAGUAAAGUUACGACUUGUGUGGUGCAUACAUGCAUAAGCACACACAGUGAAUGAUAUUGUGCUUUGUACAAUGUGAAA